rnacentral:rRNA from 1 species
ACCCGUUGAUCCUGCGGGAGGUCGCUGCUAUUAGGAUUCGACUAAGGCAUGCAAGUCAGAGGGAUGCUUCGGCAUCACAGGCAGAAUGCUCAGUAACACGUCAAUAAUCUGCCCUUGGGUCUGGGAUAACCUUGGAAAACUGAGGCUAAAACCGGAUAUGAGAUAACUACUGGAAUGUGUUAUCUCUUAAAAGCAAUGCCCAAGGAUGAGUUGGCGGCGGAUUAGGUUGUUGGUGGAGUAAAGGCCCACCAAGCCGAAGAUCCGUACGGGUCUUGAGAGAGAUAGCCCGGAGAAGGGCACUGAGAAACUGGCCCUAGCCCUACGGGGUGCAGCAGCCGCGAAACCUUUACAAUGCACGAAAGUGUGAUAAGGGAAUCCUAAGUGCUUAUGCUUUGCAUAGGCUUUUGCCAAAAGUAAAUAUUUUGGCGAAUAAGUGGUGGGAAAGACAGGUGCCAGCCGCCGCGGUAACACCUGCGCCACAAGUGGUGACCACAAUUAUUGGGCCUAAAGCGUCCGUAGCCGGAUUGAAAAAUCUUUUGUGAAAUUGUUAAGCUUAACUUAACAGCGUGCAGAAGACACUAUUAAUCUAGGAACCGGGAGAGGCUAGGAGUAUGUUGAGGGGAGCGGUAAAAUGCUAUAAUCCUCGACAGACUACCUGUGGCGAAGGCGCCUAGCCAGAACGGAUUCGACGGUGAGGGACGAAAGCUAGGGGAGCGAACCGGAUUAGAUACCCGAGUAGUCCUAGCUGUAAACGCUGCGAGCUAGGUGUUGCAUAUCCUAUAUGGAUGUGCAGUGUCGAAGCGAAGGUGUUAAGCUCGCCGCCUGGGAAGUAUGGUCGCAAGACUGAAACUUAAAGGAAUUGGCGGGGGAGCACCACAAGGGGUGCGGCGUGCGGUUUAAUCUAAUUCAACGCAGAGAAUCUCACCAGAUGCGACGGCAGGAUGAAAGUCAGGCUGAAGGCCUUGCUUGACGAGCCGAGAGGUAGUGCAUGGCCGCCGUCAGCUCGUGCCGCAAGGUGUCCUGUUAAGUCAGGCAACGAGCGAGACCUAUACCUACAAUUGCUAACAAGUCCUUUAGGAUGAUUGAGCACAUUGUGGGGACUGCCAUGGAAACAAGGAGGAAGGUGUAGGCUACGGUAGGUCUGUAUGCUCCGAAUCUUCUGGGCUACACGCGCGCAACAAUGGUAAGGACAAUGGGAUACAACUCCGAAAGGAGAAGUUAAUCCUCGAAACCUUAUCCUAGUUCAGAUUGAGGGUUGUAACUCACCCUCAUGACGAUGGAAUCCCUAGUAAUUGGGCCUCAUCAAAGCCCAGUGAAUAUGUCCCUGCUCCUUGCACACACCGCCCGUCAAACCACCCGAGUAGGGUUUAGGUGAGAUUUAGUUUUUAAUUAAAUCGAAUCUAAGCUCAGCGAGGAGGGUUAAGUCGUCACAAGGUA